rnacentral:lncRNA from 1 species
AUUUCUGGGAAGUGCGGAGCCACGCAGGUGAGCUGGAAGGAGCUGGAGCUCUGGGAUUUUGGGAUUUGGAAAUUCAGGGAUUCGGGGAUUUGGGGUCUCAGGAAUUCGGUGGCCCCUUGGAUCCUCAGUGGCCACAUCCCAUAUUCUGUGGAAUGUUUGAAUUCCUUGUUGAACCACCCUAGGACAUCGCCCACUCUGGGAUUUGGGGAUUCGGGGAUUCCAGGAUUCAGGGUUUUUGGGAUUUGGGGAUUCGGGGAUUCCAGGAUUCAGAGAUUCUGGGAUUUGGGGAUUCCAGGAUUCAGAGAUUCUGGGAUUUGGGGAUUCCAGGAUUCCAGGAUUCAGGGUUUCUGGGAUUUGGGAAUUCCAGGAUUCCAGGAUUCCAGGAUUCCAGGAUUCAGAGAUUCUGGGAUUUGGGGAUUCCAGGAUUCAGAGAUUCUGGGAUUUGGGGAUUUGGGGAUUCCAGGAUUCAGGGUUUCUGGGAUUUGGGGAUUCCAGGAUUCAGAGAUUCUGGGAUUCGGGGAUUCCAGGAUUCAGGGUUUCUGGGAUUUGGGGAUUCCAGGAUUCAGAGAUUCUGGGACUUGGGGAUUUGGGAUUUGGGGAUUCCAGGAUUCCAGGAUUCAGAGAUUCUGGGAUUUGGGGAUUCCAGGAUUCAGAGAUUCUGGGAUUUGGGGAUUCCAGGAUUCAGAGAUUCUGGGAUUUGGGGAUUUGGGAUUCGGGGAUUCCAGGAUUCAGAGAUUCUGGGAUUUGGGGAUUUCGGGAUUUGAGGUUUCUGGGAUUUGGGGAUUCCAGGAUUCAGAGAUUCUGGGAUUUGGGGAUUCCAGGAUUCAGAGAUUCUGGGAUUUGGGGAUUUGGGGAUUCCAGGAUUCCAGGAUUCAGAGAUUCUGGGAUUUGGGGAUUCCAGGAUUCAGAGAUUCUGGGACCUGGGGAUUUGGGAUUUGGGGAUUCCAGGAUUCAGAGAUUCUGGGAUUUGGGGAUUUCAGGAUUUGGGGUUUCUGGGAUUUGGGGAUUCCAGAAUUUUGGGAUUCAGGGUUUCUGGGAUUUGGGGAUUCUGGGAUGUGGGGAUUUGGGGAUUCCUGGAUUCAGGGUUUCUGGGAUUUUGGGAUUCCAGGAUUUUGGGAUUCAGAGAUUCUGGGAUUUGGGGAUUCCAAGAUUCAGGCUUCCUGGGAUUUGGGGAUUUGGGGAUUCCUGGAUUCAGGGUUUCUGGGAUUUGGGGAUUCCAGGAUUCAGGGUUUCUGGGAUUUGGGAAUUCCAGGAUUCGAGGGAUCUAUGAUUUGGGGAUUUGGGGAUUCCAGGAUUCAAGGAUUUCUUGGGGAUUGCAGAUUUUGGGGUUCGGGGUUUCUGGGAUUGUGGAUCUUGGGAUACUGGGAUUCCAGGAUUUGGGGGUUUUGUGAUUUGGGGAUGUUGAUAUCCAGGAAUUCAAAGGUUUGUGGAUUCUGGGAUUUGGGGUUUCUGUGA